rfam:Pan troglodytes isolate Yerkes chimp pedigree #C0471 (Clint) chromosome 4, whole genome shotgun sequence.
UAUUAGGUUGGUACAAAAGUAGUUGUGGUUUUUGCCAUUAAAAAUAAUGGCAAAAUUAAAAGUAAUGGCGAAAACCACAAUUACUUUUGUACCAACCUAAUA